UGGAAUCUUUAUCAACCAAUAUCUAGUAUGCUCUGCAAAUGCUGUGCUAGCUAGAUGCUGUAUCUGAGACUUUCUGUGUCCUCAUUCUCUCUGUAAGAUCAGUGAUUUCCAUCUUAAAAUCUAUUGAAAAAAAAAAUGUCACUUCCCUUCCCUCUUGGAGUGCGUUCUGAUUGUCUGCUGUAGACAAGCAUGGAUGUCAUGACUCUGCCUGUGUAACACUAUUAAGGGGUGCCUCUGAGUCUUGAGAGUUUUAUGCCUAAUAAUAUGGGGCAGGACAAACAUCAAGCUUCAGUAUGCUUCUUCUAUUCUUGCUGGUCCCCAUCAAUUCUAGGCGAAGGUGGUAGAAUAGAAGCAAGGAAAAGCAAGUUAUCUUGGUGGGCAUUAUCAUUGAGAGGGAAUUAUGAAUAAUUAACAGGGGCAUUGACCAGUAACAAUGACAAAUCAUAGUGUUUCAGAGGGAAAUUAGUUUGGGAUAAACAAGGACCACGGGACAUCAGUCUGUGGUAGUUGCUAUGGCCCUUUAUGGAGUUUUCACAUUUUAAGAAGUGCUUGGUGGUGCUGCAGAAUUUUAGAAUGGAAAACAUCAUGUUCUUGAGCUGAGCUGGACACUUGGUUGUCAAUUCUUAAGAAUCUGUAAGGCAGGACAUUCUAAUAGCUUUUUUUUUUUUAGCUGUAGUUACCAUCCUCAAAUAUGAAAGUAAUUGAUACUCAGCAAUGAAAGCUGCGUAUGCAUGUGGGAGAGAAGGAGGUUUCACCAGACUGACAAAAGGAGUCAUGGUUCUGGGAAGGAGCAGCAUUCACCAGAGGAUGAAUAAUAUGGCUUGGUGGAACUUUCCUCACAACCUCUUGUACUCAGACGGCCAGGACAGAAGCUGA
rnacentral:lncRNA from 1 species